AGAGCGAACGCUGGCGGCAGGCCUAAUACAUGCAAGUCGAACGGACCCUUCGGGGUUAGUGGCGGACGGGUGAGUAACACGUGGGAACGUGCCCUUUGGUUCGGAACAACUCAGGGAAACUUGAGCUAAUACCGAAUGUGCCCUUCGGGGGAAAGAUUUAUCGCCAUUGGAGCGGCCCGCGUCUGAUUAGCUAGUUGGUGAGGUAAAGGCUCACCAAGGCUACGAUCAGUAGCUGGUCUGAGAGGAUGAUCAGCCACACUGGGACUGAGACACGGCCCAGACUCCUACGGGAGGCAGCAGUAGGGAAUCUUGCGCAAUGGGCGAAAGCCUGACGCAGCCAUGCCGCGUGAAUGAUGAAGGUCUUAGGAUUGUAAAAUUCUUUCAGUGGGGAAGAUAAUGACUGUACCCACAGAAGAAGCUCCGGCUAACUUCGUGCCAGCGGCCGC
rnacentral:rRNA from 1 species